GAUGAACGCUGGCGGCGUGCCUAAUACAUGCAAGUCGAACGCACAGCGAAAGGUGCUUGCACCUUUCAAGUGAGUGGCGAACGGGUGAGUAACACGUGGACAACCUGCCUCAAGGCUGGGGAUAACAUUUGGAAACAGAUGCUAAUACCGAAUAAAACUCAGUGUCGCAUGACACAAAGUUAAAAGGCGCUUUGGCGUCACCUAGAGAUGGAUCCGCGGUGCAUUAGUUAGUUGGUGGGGUAAAGGCCUACCAAGACAAUGACGCAUAGCCGGGUUGAGAGACUGGUCGGCCACAUUGGGACUGAGGCACGGCCCAAACUCCUACGGGAGGCUGCAGUAGGGAAUCUUCCACAAUGGGCGAAAGCCUGAUGGAGCAACGCCGCGUGUGUGAUGAAGGCUUUCGGGUCGUAAAGCACUGUUGUAUGGGAAGAACAGCUAGAAUAGGGAAUGAUUUUAGUUUGACGGUACCAUACCAGAAAGGGACGGCUAAAUACGUGCCAGCCGCCGCAGUAA
rnacentral:rRNA from 1 species